GGGAAGGACAACUGUGCAGCAGCAUGGCUGACUGAUGAAGAUGACGGCAGGUGGGCGGACGGCAGAUGUGACGAGAAGUUUCCUUUCGUUUGUCGCUCGGAUCAACUGGUGUUGGUGUCUCUGAAUCUGACCUGGAAGGAGGCUUUCAUGCACUGCAGGGAGCGUGACAUGUAUCUGGUGAACGUCUUCACUAAGGAGAUCCAGACCAUGGUGAUGAAUGCAGCCACAGGUGCCACCACCCCUCAGGUGUGGCUGGGCCUGCGCUUCAUGUGUCCCCUGGACAUCUGGCACUGGACCACCAGGCAGAGUGUCUGCUACACCAACUGGG